AUCGCCCGGGCGCCAGGAUUUGUGUGCGAUGUGAAAGGAGGGGAGGGGGGCACAGUGGAAGCAGCUCUUCCCCAGCGUCGGAAACUACCUUCUCCUUGCCUUGCCACGCCGCCAAUAAAUUAGUACAGCUAAAUCCCGUACUCUGCGCUCGGGAAGCGGUUCUUUACAGGGGAAAGAACAGCUGUUGAUUGGUUGGAAUGACUGGAAGUGCGCGUGUGCUGGCGGGGCGGGGGCUGUGAUUGGCAAUGGAGCACGGGCUGAGCCCUCCCGCGCGCUCGUGCACAUGGCGGUUGAGGCCACGCCCAGGGUUUGGGAGUGGGGAUGGGGAGCUCGGGCUGGUUCUAGAAGGUUCCGCAGGGAAGCGGCCGGCCGCAGCCGCCUUACGGGCGGGGAUUGUUUCCAGAUGGCAAGCAACUGCACAUCAAAAGUACUUGAUUUAUGGGGAAAGCACUUUUUAAGAACAUGCUGACGUUGAGAAAUACUGAAUAAACACAACUUCCAGUGGACAGCACACUUUCGGAUAAUGCAGCUAAAGCACUGCAGGUGAUGCUUUCUGAUCUACAAUUGCAGUCUGCAAUGUACCUGUUAUCUCAUCUGGACCAAGCUCUCCCAAACACACUUAAUAUUGUUGGUGCUUCACACUUGCUGAAUUUAUUGGGAACUACACUCCAGCACCUUUCUGUUCCAUUAUCCAAUCACUAAGAACUGUAGACUGAAUGAUCCUUUAAGUUCUGAGGAACAGCUGGGCUCUUACAAGGCUUCCUUCUUUUCAAAGUUCAAACUCGUCUCAUCAAAAGCAUCCAUUUCUCCUCUCUUGUGAAAAAACAUCCAACUGACUGCAAAGGCAGUUGCCUCAGUCUUAUCUGCCUAAUAACUUAUUUUGUAAGGUUGUCACUUUGGGUAGAAAAAGAUUCCACUUGAAUACACUUCUUAUCUCUCACUUGUCAAAUUUUAAUCUAAAUGGUCCUAUAACCUUACACAAUCCUAAGUUCUGUCUAUAAUCCUGUAACCCUCAUAAUUUAGUCCUACUUUUCUAUAGUAUGUAACUUGUUGAAUAAUAGCAGUGUUCUGUUUCUCUCCAGUAGUGACAUUCUGCUUGAUGGAUAAAGCUGAAUCAAAUUAAAUGAAUUCCCAUGCACGUUCGACUUAAUCAUUAUGAACUGCAUAACAUUGACUUCAAAAAUCACAAUUCACUACCAAAAUAAAGUUCAUUUGGAACUUGGGGGUUUUCACUGAUCUCCGUCCAAUUCACCCAGACUGACGUGGAGCCCACUAGCAGCAUUACACAAUGGGGCCAGAAGAGAUCUCACCAGAGACAAAUAGAGAUGACAGCAAAUGUGAGGUCAGAUUGCCUCCAGUUGUGGGUUCUACAUUCACGAGAAAGACUGGACCAAAAAUUCAAGGCUAGUGCUUCAGUGCGUUUCAGACGAGAUGUAAAUCAUGAAUGACUCUCUCCAUUUGCUCCCUCAAUUGGAAGUGAAAGAUUCAUGACACUGUUUUGAAGAUAAAUGGUGGAGAAAUUGUGUCUGAUGUUCUGGUCAAUAUUUGUUCCUGAACCAACAUCACUAAAACACAAGCUCAUCAUAACGGCUAUUAGUGGCAGCUUGCUGUGCACAAACUAGCAUCUCCAUUCUCUACAUUGUUGCACUUCAAAUACUUAAUUGACUGUGAAGCACUUUGGAUAUCCUGAUGUUGUGCAUGGCAGUGUGAAAAUGUAAGUCCAUCUAUCUUUCUUCAUUGUGCUUUUUUUUCUACAUUGUGCUAUAUAAAAUGUAUUUUUAGAAUCCAUUUGCAGUUACUUACACUUCAGAAUCAUGAAUGCCAUCUGUCAUUCAACUGCUUAAAUUGCUAAGUAUCUGUAGGCCUCAUGAAUGCAUUCCUUUCCUCACAACAUCCUGUUUUCCUAUGCAGUUUGGCACCAUCCACCAGCAUAUGUCCUUCUUGUUUCAUAGAAUGGCUUUAAGAAGUGGUUUUAUAAUACCCUAGGGCAUGUGGUUGCUGUGGUAUUCAGCUCAUUCUAUAUCAUUGCAACAGCAAAUAAACCAUACCUAUGUGAAAGUCA